AAGACUAUACUUUCAGAGAUCUUUGCUGCAGCUGAUUACUAGAGACGUUUCUUUGUGCAGAAUGCUGGAAACCACAGGGAGGUGGUGCAGGCUUCUCUCCGGAGCUCCUGGAGACCAGCUCUUGGUGGUGUUUUAGUACAACUGCCAUUUGUAUGUUCAACUGCCUUAUAUGUUCUUCCUUUGGGAGAAUAAGAGGGAGAAGACCCAAUCUUAGUGGU